AAUUUUCGUCGUCGUCGUCUCCCGUUCCGCCCGCGCCAACAUGGGCCGCACCAACUUGGGCUGAGAAAGGAUCACCUGGGAAAAUCCGCCUCCGCUCCACAAACAAGGACCGCACCCCUAAUCACUUCCCUCGACCUGCCCUCAGCCGUCGCCGUCGCCGCCGCUGCCCUGCCCUCCGCUGCCACAAGAGUGUGCCUGGGACGACGCGCUUCAGAUCACCACACGGACCAACAACACUGCCGCCGCCGCACUACUCUCCUCCUGGUUUUUUUCUGCAGGAGGCACUGCAUCGUAGACAGGAUAUGCGCGGGUUGUGGGUGUGGCUGCCGGCGGCUCUGCGGGCGUCAUGUGCAUCAUGUCGGGCAGUUCGGCAGGUGGUCGCUGCGGGCGGCUGACAACCUGCUCCUACCGCACGUCCCACGACUAGGAGCAAGGGAAGACUCUCCUAUGGGAGGCCACUGGCUCGCUGCAGAUCCACAGCAGUUUGCAAGAUUAUAGGGAGUGGAGAAGACUUAGCUGGGUUGUAUGCAUCUCCAGUAGCACCACACAAACUUUACAGUAUGGCUGCAUUAGCUACACCAACAAUUCAAACUGCCGCUAGCCAGUUCACUCCCAUGUUAGCAGCUCAAUCUACCGAUGGUUUUCCAUCUCACCCCAUGUUAGCCAAAGGAUUAAUAUUUACUAAUUAAUGUUCACAACGUACGUGAUUUAGGUGUUGUAUGCUGUUUUUUUAGGACAAGCCAAAUCUCCAGUUAAGCUGCACGAUAUUAUAUCAGCAUUAUUUCUUUUUGCGCUGGGAUAAGGUGUAUGAUGCUUACACAUUGAAUAUUUCCAUAUGCAUUUGAUAUUUAACAUAUUUCAACAUUCCAGACUUCAUAAAACCAUGUCUAAUAGAGUGUAUAUAUCAUUUGCAUUGUUUAUCUUGUGGUCACACGGUGAGAAUUUCUAAGCUGAUUGAGGCAACGCAGUGAGAACACGAACUGGCGAUUUGGGGAUUUUUAGGGGCUGUUUGUUUGCCGGACAGAGAUUGCCAAGCCAAAGUUUGGCAUGCCACAGCGGAUUUGGCGGGCGUUUGGUUCAUUAACAAGUAUUGGCGCGCCACAGCCUCACCAUCCACCCGCCACAUGUUUUUGCCAGAAAACUUUGGCGGUCUUUUUCCCCGCCACACCCGCCUGUGGCUGCCAACACCGACAAAAUUAUCGGAGCUGCCGCGAAAAAAAUCGCCCAGUGCCUUCUUUCUCAGCUGUUUUCGAAAAAAAAUUCCCCUCUCCGCACUUUCACUCCACAGCGGCUCCCCUUCCCCCGACGUAGCGGAGCUCGCCAUCGCCACGCCUCCCAUCCCAGAACAGAUCUGAAGCAGAGAAAAGUGGGAGGAGAGUAUAGCAGCGCAAAGGGAGGCAGGGCAGCGGAAGUGGCAACAGAUUCAUGACCAGUCCGUGUGGCAGGAAAAGGGGGAAAAGCAAUGACCAAGAAAAGGUUGAAGGUUGAUGCUGAUGUAUCCUUUCGUGAGAGAACCGUGACUUGGGCUGAUGAUCAGAAGAAAUGCAUUCUUGAUUGGUACAUCGACUACUUGAAAGAUCAACAUGUAGGAUUUAAGUUCAAUAAGCAACAUCAUUUAUUGUGUGCUGAUGCAUUAAAUAAGAAUUCCCCAUGGGGAUGACCGUGGAUCAAGUGGACCGUCAGGCACUGAGUAAAAGUGGAAAUUCAUUUGAUCACACCAGAUGCAUUGUGACUAUUUCAGAAUCUGAAAAGACAACCCUAUGAGUAUGUUGUCUCAACCACAUUCAAUUUCUUAUGCGAGAAGGAAGGCUUAAAUCUGUGAACACUACAAGUUGGUUGCAACCUCAUUUUGUAUAUGUGUGUGCUACUCACAUAACGACUAGAACAUGUUUAGUGGCAAUAUUACUUUUGUUGCUUAUCAAUGCUAGCUGAAUAGAGCUUGAUAAGAUGUUGUUAGUAAUCUGGUCCAACUUAGCUUUUGUCAUGAAUGUUAUGUACUACUUAAUUGAAUGGUCUAAGUUCUGUAAUGAAAUUUGAACUACUGAUAAUCUAUUUGACAUAUUUUUGCUUCAACUAUUA